rnacentral:rRNA from 1 species
GAUGAACGCUGGCGGCGUGCCUAAUACAUGCAAGUCGAGCGAAUGGAUUGAGAGCUUGCUCUUAUGAAGUUAGCGGCGGACGGGUGAGUAACACGUGGGUAACCUGCCCAUAAGACUGGGAUAACUCCGGGAAACCGGGGCUAAUACCGGAUAACAUUUUGAACCGCAUGGUUCGAAAUUGAAAGGCGGCUUCGGCUGUCACUUAUGGAUGGACCCGCGUCGCAUUAGCUAGUUGGUGAGGUAACGGCUCACCAAGGCAACGAUGCGUAGCCGACCUGAGAGGGUGAUCGGCCACACGGGGACUGAGACACGGCCCAGACUCCUACGGGAGGCAGCAGUAGGGAAUCUUCCGCAAUGGACGAAAGUCUGACGGAGCAACGCCGCGUGAGUGAUGAAGGCUUUCGGGUCGUAAAACUCUGUUGUUAGGGAAGAACAAGUGCUAGUUGAAUAAGCUGGCACCUUGACGGUACCUAACCAGAAAGCCACGGCUAACUACGUGCCAGCCGCCGCCGUAA